rnacentral:rRNA from 1 species
UAAUACGAAGGGGGCUAGCGUUGCUCGGAAUCACUGGGCGUAAAGGGCGCGUAGGCGGCCAUUCAAGUCAGGGGUGAAAGCCCAAGGCUCAACCUUGGAAUUGCCUUUGAUACUGUUUGGCUUGAGACCGGAAGAGGUCGGCGGAACUGCGAGUGUAGAGGUGAAAUUCGUAGAUAUUCGCAAGAACACCAGUGGCGAAGGCGGCCGACUGGUCCGGUUCUGACGCUGAGGCGCGAAAGCGUGGGGAGCAAACA